rnacentral:rRNA from 1 species
CGGGAUUGCCUUAGUAACGGCGAGUGAAGCGGCAAAAGCUCAAAUUUGAAAUCUGGUACCUUCGGUGCCCGAGUUGUAAUUUGGAGAGGGCAACUUUGGGGCCGUUCCUUGUCUAUGUUCCUUGGAACAGGACGUCAUAGAGGGUGAGAAUCCCGUGUGGCGAGGAGUGCGGUUCUUUGUAAAGUGCCUUCGAAGAGUCGAGUUGUUUGGGAAUGCAGCUCUAAGUGGGUGGUAAAUUCCAUCUAAAGCUAAAUAUUGGCGAGAGACCGAUAGCGAACAAGUACAGUGAUGGAAAGAUGAAAAGAACUUUGAAAAGAGAGUGAAAAAGUACGUGAAAUUGUUGAAAGGGAAGGGCAUUUGAUCAGACAUGGUGUUUUGUGCCCUCUGCUCCUUGUGGGUAGGGGAAUCUCGCAUUUCACUGGGCCAGCAUCAGUUUUGGUGGCAGGAUAAAUCCAUAGGAAUGUAGCUUGCCUCGGUAAGUAUUAUAGCCUGUGGGAAUACUGCCAGCUGGGACUGAGGACUGCGACGUAAGUCAAGGAUGCUGGCAUA